GAUGAACGCUAGCGGCAGGCCUAACACAUGCAAGUCGAGGGGUAACAUAGAGAAGCUUGCUUUUCUGAUGACGACCGGCGCACGGGUGCGUAACGCGUAUACAAUCUACCUCUUACUGUGGGAUAGCCCAGAGAAAUUUGGAUUAACCCCACAUGGUAUCAUAUUACGGCAUCGUAUUUAUGAUUAAAGGUUACGGUAGGAGAUGAGUAUGCGUCCUAUUAGUUUGUUGGUAAGGUAACGGCUUACCAAGACUACGAUAGGUAGGGGCCCUGAGAGGGGGAUCCCCCACACUGGUACUGAGACACGGACCAGACUCCUACGGGAGGCAGCAGUGAGGAAUAUUGGACAAUGGGCGAGAGCCUGAUCCAGCCAUGCCGCGUGCAGGAAGACUGCCCUAUGGGUUGUAAACUGCUUUUAUAUGGGAAGAAACACUCUCACGUGUGAGAGCUUGACGGUACCAUAAGAAUAAGGACCGGCUAACUCCG
rnacentral:rRNA from 1 species